UACGUAGGGUGCGAGCGUUGUCCGGAAUUAUUGGGCGUAAAGGGCUCGUAGGCGGCUUGUCGCGUCUGCUGUGAAAGCUCGGGGCUCAACCCCGGGUCUGCAGUGGAUACGGGCAGGCUAGAGUCCGGCAGGGGAGACUGGAAUUCCUGGUGUAGCGGUGGAAUGCGCAGAUAUCAGGAGGAACACCGGUGGCGAAGGCGGGUCUCUGGGCCGGUACUGACGCUGAGGAGCGAAAGCGUGGGGAGCGAACAGG
rnacentral:rRNA from 1 species